rnacentral:rRNA from 1 species
CAGCCGCCGCGGUAAUACCGGCGGCCCGAGUGGCGGCCACUAUUAUUGGGCCUAAAGCGUCCGUAGCCGGGCUGGUAAGUCCCCCGGGAAAUCUGGCGGCUUAACCGUCAGAAUUCCGGGGGAUACUGCCAGCCUAGGGACCGGGAGAGGCCGGGGGUAUUCCCGGGGUAGGGGUGAAAUCCUAUAAUCCCAGGGGGACCGCCAGUGGCGAAGGCGCCCCGCUGGAACGGGUCCGACGGUGAGGGACGAAGGCCAGGGGAGCAAACCGGAUUAGAUACCCGGGUAGUCCUGGCUGUAAAGGAUGCGGGCUAGGUGUCGGGUGAGCUUCGGGCUCGCCCGGUGCCGUAGGGAAGCCGUUAAGCCCGCCGCCUGGGGAGUACGGCCGCAAGGCUGAAACUUAAAGGAAUUGGCGGG